CGACGGAUGAGGCGAGCGUUAUUCGGAUUUACUGGGCGUAAAGAGCGUGUAGGCGGUUAAGUAAGUCGAGUGUGAAAGACUAUGGCUUAACCAUGGAAAGCCAUUCGGGACUGCUUAACUUGAGUACAGGAGAGGAGAGCGGAAUUCCUGGUGGAGCGGUGAAAUGCGUAGAUAUCAGGAGGAACACCGGUGGCGAAGGCGGCUCUCUGGCCUGAAACUGACGCUGAGACGCGAAAGCGUGGGGAGCAAACAGGAUUAGAUACCCUGGUAGUCCACGCUGUAAACGAUGGGCACUAGGUGUUGGAGGUAUCGACCCCUUCAGUGCCGUAGUUAACACAUUAAGUGCCCCGCCUGGGGAGUACGGUCGCAAGGCUGAA
rnacentral:rRNA from 1 species